rnacentral:rRNA from 1 species
AUGGUUGCAAGGAUCAUAUGGAUACUAGACAUAUGCCACACGGAUUGGGAGUUGGACUUGUCAGCAGACAUCAUAGAGCAGAUGGCUGCAAACACUAGGGAGGUACAUAUAAAGAAAGGAAGGAUUUGGUGCUACAGUUUUGGAUGGCGACAACUGCAGAAUCUUCACAAGCUUCGAGUGAGUGAGCCCACAUCCCCUUGGCAGACAGGCAAAAUGGAUGAAUUCAUAGACAUGGUGAAGUUGGAGUUCCUUGACUUGACUGGGGACAGUACAAUUCAAGUUUUGCCAAGUAUGUCAGGGGCAACCAGUCUCAAGAUUUUGGUUCUCGACGGUUGUGUUGGAUUGGAACAUGUUGGCCCCGAAGGACUGCCACCCUCACUUGAAUCCUUCAGCUUGGAUGCACGUGCCACAGAGGAUCAUAAAAAGGAGGCCAAAAUCUCUCGUAUCUCUUUGGCUGGUUGUGCAAGAUUGGUGAACUUCAGAUUGUGUGGAUCACUUCCAAAUCUUGAGGACCUAGAUCUAUCAGGCACUUUGGUCAAAACACUUGACCUCAAAGAUCAGGUGGUUCAGGCCCCAAGUCUCCAACAAAUUAUUCUAUUGGGAUGUAUGCAGCUCCUUGCUAUUCUAUGGCCAGAAAAUGGUAUGCCAAAACAUAUAGUGUUACGCAUUGAUUCUUUAGUCUGUCGUGUUCAAGCAGAACUUCAUCAAGCAUAUGCUACUAUAAUGGACACAAGGUUUCUGCAGACUUUGGUAUUAGAGAGUAAUGUUGAUUUCUGUUGGAAGAGUACUAGGUUCCAUUUAAAUCUAUGUGUCCCUUGUAGCAACAAAGUUGAGGAGCAAAGCAAUAAGGAGAAGGCUGCCAUGUGUAGUAGCGGGCAGAUAAUGGGUCCUCCUCGACCAAAGUCAUUAAUACCCAAUGCUUACAUCACGUACAUGGAUGUCGUUGCUGACAACAUUACUGUUGAUGAUGGCUAUAAUAGUGCACCGCAGUUUCAGCCGUUGGGCUCCCAUGUGGAGAUUGGUGAUGGAAUUAGUUUCACUAGAAUGGAGAGCACACGAGCAAUCAAGGCUACCAUCUUUGUGAUGAACAAGGCCAAGUCGUUGCAUGCGCGCAACAAUUCUUCCAUUAAUACUGUCAUCCCUGAACAUAUGAUCUCCAUAGAAGGUAAUGUACUUACAUGGCGAAAUCUGAAAUCUUGUCAUGUGGUGAGAUGCCCCAAGAUGCAUACCCUCUUCAAUAUUGUCUGGGGAUUUUGCAAAUUUGAAGAACUAGUUGAGUUUUGGGCGGCUGAUCUCCUAUCGGCCCAUUGCAUUUGGAGCAAACAAAGGGUGUCGGAUUUUCAAGACAAUCGUUCCUUUGCGAAACUGCAGAGCAUACACCUGUUCUCCUGCCCAAGCUUGGAGAUUCUCCACAUCACCUUCUGUGGUGAUCUAAAGCAGGUGUUCCCCGUGGAGCCAGAGAUUCUGGCAAGAAUAGCUACAAGCCAGUGUAAAGGUGCAUUGGAGUUCCCAAACCUGAAGCAUAUAUACUUGCAUCAGCUCUUCAAGCUGCAACAGAUAUGCGAGGCCAAGAUGUUUUCUCCCAAGCUUGAGACCAUCAAGGUUAGGGGAUGCUGGGCUCUCAGGCGCCUCCCGGCUGUCGGUCGAGACAACCGUCCCGUCGUGGACUGCGAGAAGGACUGGUGGGAGAAGUUAGAGUGGGACGGGCUGGAAACCGGCCACGACCCUUCCCUCUUCAAGCCUCGCCACUCUGCGUAUUACAAGAAGCCCCUGCCUAGAGGCUCAGUUCCGUGGUGA